rnacentral:rRNA from 1 species
UACGUAGGUGGCAAGCGUUAUCCGGAUUUACUGGGUGUAAAGGGAGCGUAGACGGCGGUGCAAGCCAGAUGUGAAAGCCCGGGGCUCAACCCCGGGACUGCAUUUGGAACUGUGCUGCUAGAGUGUCGGAGAGGCAGGCGGAAUUCCUAGUGUAGCGGUGAAAUGCGUAGAUAUUAGGAGGAACACCAGUGGCGAAGGCGGCCUGCUGGACGAUGACUGACGUUGAGGCUCGAAAGCGUGGGGAGCAAACAGG